UACGGAGGAUGCAAGCGUUAUCCGGAUUCAUUGGGUUUAAAGGGUGCGCAGGCGGAAUGAUAAGUCAGUGGUGAAAUCUCUCGGCUCAACUGAGAAACUGCCAUUGAUACUGUCGUUCUUGAGUACACUUGGAGUGGGCGGAAUGUGUCAUGUAGCGGUGAAAUGCUUAGAUAUGACACAGAACACCGAUCGCGAAGGCAGCUCACUAAGUUGUAACUGACGCUCAGGCACGAAAGCGUGGGGAUCAAACAGGAUUAGAUACCCUGGUAGUCCACGCUGUAAACGAUGAUCACUCGAUGUUGGCGAUAUACUGUCAGCGUCUAAGCGAAAGCAUUAAGUGAUCCACCUGGGGAGUACGAUCGCAAGAUUGAA
rnacentral:rRNA from 1 species